rnacentral:rRNA from 1 species
GACGAACGCUGGCGGCGUGCUUAACACAUGCAAGUCGAACGCUGAAGCCCUUCGGGGUGGAUGAGUGGCGAACGGGUGAGUAACACGUGGGUAAUCUGCCCUGCACUCUGGGAUAAGCCUUGGAAACGGGGUCUAAUACCGGAUAGGACACAUCGCCGCAUGGUGUGUGUGUGGAAAGUUCCGGCGGUGCAGGUUGAGCCCGCGGCCUAUCAGCUUGUUGGUGGGGUGAUGGCCUACCAAGGCGACGACGGGUAGCCGGCCUGAGAGGGUGACCGGCCACACUGGGACUGAGACACGGCCCAGACUCCUACGGGAGGCAGCAGUGGGGAAUCUUGCGCAAUGGGCGAAAGCCUGACGCAGCAACGCCGCGUGGGGGAUGACGGCCUUCGGGUUGUAAACCUCUUUCGACCGGGACGAAGGAUUCGUUUGACGGUACCGGUAGAAGAAGCACCGGCUAACUACGUGCCAGCAGCCGCAGUAA